UACGUAUGGGGCAAGCGUUAUCCGGAUUUACUGGGUGUAAAGGGAGUGUAGGCGGCAUGGCAAGUCAGAAGUGAAAGGCUGGGGCUCAACCCCGGGACUGCUUUUGAAACUGUCAGGCUAGAGUGUCGGAGGGGUAAGCGGAAUUCCUAGUGUAGCGGUGAAAUGCGUAGAUAUUAGGAGGAACACCGGUGGCGAAGGCGGCUUACUGGACGACUACUGACGCUGAGGCUCGAAAGCGUGGGGAG
rnacentral:rRNA from 1 species